CCUUGCUUCCACCCCUGGCCUCCCAUGCUCAGCCAUCCUAAACCACUAAAGCCCUAGACCAUCCAUCUGGCUCCUCUACUUGGGUACAUCUGACCCUGUGUCCUGGAGGGCACCAAUUCUGACACCUUCAGGGUCAAGGGGCCUCCCUGUUUGGUGCUGCCCCACCCCCAACCCUGUCAGCUCUAGAAUCCUCUCUUCCACAGUGCUGAUCACACUGGGUCCCGCUGUUCCCACGUCUGCCUCCCUACCAGACUGAGCUCCAAGCUGCCAGGGGCCUCGUCUCCAUCUGGGUCCCAGUUCCCACCAUAGAGCUGGGCAUGGAGGACAGCUCAGGGAAGCUUCUUGGGAAAUGAAUUCUGGGAGUUCCCUCUGCCAAGGACCCACUGUGUUAAGAGCUUUAAGUCCCCCUUCCUCCCAGGUGAAUGUCCACUUCGAGGCCGGCUCAACCACCGUCUUCAGAGAACUCUCCCACACUGGCCACAGCCUAUCUGCCAGCGUCACCCACUGUCUAGGUCUUUGCCCAUAAUGUGUCAAGGGCAAAACAGAGGGGUGGAUAUGAUGCACGUGCCUCAGCCCGGGGCCCGUACAUGGCUGGCGUCCAGGUAACGCAGGCCUGGGGCAGACAUUCCUUACACAGCUCCCACCCUACUCUUACGUCCACAUUUAGGCAGCCAGGCCACCUUAGCCUUGGAGGGGAGGACACCAACGGGGCCCGCCUUACCAGCAGUCAGAAACAGACCCACAUCCCAGUGGGUACCCAAGGCUUCUUUCCUUAGGCCCCAUCCCAUUUAGGAAGUUGGGAAACCCACUGGGUGAGCCCAAAGGCUACCAAAGCCUG
rnacentral:lncRNA from 1 species